rnacentral:rRNA from 1 species
UUGUGCCUACGGGGGGCAGCAGUGAGGAAUAUUGGUCAAUGGGCUUACGCCUGAUCCAGCUAUUCCGCGUGUGGGAUGAAGGCCCUCGGGUUGUAAACCACUUUUGUAGAGAACGAAAAGACACCUUCGAAUAAAGGGUGUUGCUGACGGUACUCUAAGAAUAAGCACCGGCUAACUACGUGCCAGCAGCCGCGGUAAUACGUAGGGUGCGAGCGUUAAUCGGAAUUACUGGGCGUAAAGGGUGCGCAGGCGGUUGAGUAAGACA